rnacentral:rRNA from 1 species
CAAUAGCGUAUAUUAAAGUUGUUGCGGUUAAAAAGCUCGUAGUUGGAGUUCUGCCAGGUGCCGCCUGUCCGCCCCAGUGGUGAGUACGUGGCGCGCAUUUGGCCCUUUCAAGGGGAGCGUAUCUGCACUUUAUUGUGUGGUGCGGGAUCCUUGACUUUUACUUUGAGGAAAUAGGAGUGUUCCAAGCAGGCUCUCGUCGUGCACAGCUCAGCAUGGAAUAAUAGCAUUGGACCUCGAUUCUAAGCUGUUGGUUGCCAGAAGCGAGGUAAUGAUGAAGAGGGAUAGUUGGGGGCAUUCGUAUUUAACUGUCAGAGGUGAAAUUCUUGGAUUUGUUAAAGACGAACUACUGCGAAAGCAUUUGCCAAGGAUGUUUUCAUUGA